rnacentral:lncRNA from 1 species
UGAAAUAAAGAUAAUGAGGUUGAUUUGUCCUGUGCGCAGGAAGGAGAGACUGUCCCAUUGGAGGAACCUGAUUUGGUUUGGCUCUGUGCAGCAAAUUUCAUAUGGUACCUGUAGGAGUCAAAAUGAUGGUAUCGACUGGUGGCACAGCUUGCACGUAUCAGGAGCUCCCCAAAGAUGCCUGGUUUACAAAACCUCUGAAGAUAAAAUGGGAUGUGGGCAGCCAGGAACAUUGUGGUUUCUGAGGAUCAUCGCUUCACUAGCCAGCCUAGUCACAUCUCUUUGUGCUCUGAGUUGGAGGAGCUUCAUGUGCCUGCUUGGGAUUUGGAUAAGCAGCUCUGACAGUGGGUUCUGUGAGGGAUCUUCCUACUUCGGAUUGAUUCCUGACUUCAGCUUUUGGCAUUAGAGAAGAUGAUUAAUGUUUUUG